rnacentral:rRNA from 1 species
GCCCUUGGCCGUCUGCUAUACUGCAGUCGAGCGGACAGAAGGGAGCUUGCUCCCGGAUGUUAGCGGCGGACGGGUGAGUAACACGUGGGUAACCUGCCUGUAAGACUGGGAUAACUCCGGGAAACCGGAGCUAAUACCGGAUAGUUCCUUGAACCGCAUGGUUCAAGGAUGAAAGACGGUUUCGGCUGUCACUUACAGAUGGACCCGCGGCGCAUUAGCUAGUUGGUGAGGUAACGGCUCACCAAGGCGACGAUGCGUAGCCGACCUGAGAGGGUGAUCGGCCACACUGGGACUGAGACACGGCCCAGACUCCUACGGGAGGCAGCAGUAGGGAAUCUUCCGCAAUGGACGAAAGUCUGACGGAGCAACGCCGCGUGAGUGAUGAAGGUUUUCGGAUCGUAAAGCUCUGUUGUUAGGGAAGAACAAGUGCAAGAGUAACUGCUUGCACCUUGACGGUACCUAACCAGAAAGCCACGGCUAACUACGUGCCAGCAGCCGCGGUAAUACGUAGGUGGCAAGCGUUGUCCGGAAUUAUUGGGCGUAAAGGGCUCGCAGGCGGUUUCUUAAGUCUGAUGUGAAAGCCCCCGGCUCAACCGGGGAGGGUCAUUGGAAACUGGGAAACUUGAGUGCAGAAGAGGAGAGUGGAAUUCCACGUGUAGCGGUGAAAUGCGUAGAGAUGUGGAGGAACACCAGUGGCGAAGGCGACUCUCUGGUCUGUAACUGACGCUGAGGAGCGAAAGCGUGGGGAGCGAACAGGAUUAGAUACCCUGGUAGUCCACGCCGUAAACGAUGAGUGCUAAGUGUUAGGGGGUUUCCGCCCCUUAGUGCUGCAGCUAACGCAUUAAGCACUCCGCCUGGGGAGUACGGUCGCAAGACUGAAACUCAAAGGAAUUGACGGGGGCCCGCACAAGCGGUGGAGCAUGUGGGUUUAUUUCGAAGCAACGCGAGAACCUUACCAGGUCUUGACAUCCUCUGACACCCUAGAGAUAGGGCUUUCCCUUCGGGGACAGAGUGACAGGUGGUGCAUGGUUGUCGUCAGCUCGUGUCGUGAGAUGUUGGGUUAAGUCCCGCACCGAGCGCACCCCUUGAUC